rnacentral:rRNA from 2 species
GCUCAGGAUGAACGCUGGCGGCGUGCCUAAUACAUGCAAGUCGAGCGAACUGAUUAGAAGCUUGCUUCUAUGACGUUAGCGGCGGACGGGUGAGUAACACGUGGGCAACCUGCCUGUAAGACUGGGAUAACUUCGGGAAACCGAAGCUAAUACCGGAUAGGAUCUUCUCCUUCAUGGGAGAUGAUUGAAAGAUGGUUUCGGCUAUCACUUACAGAUGGGCCCGCGGUGCAUUAGCUAGUUGGUGAGGUAACGGCUCACCAAGGCAACGAUGCAUAGCCGACCUGAGAGGGUGAUCGGCCACACUGGGACUGAGACACGGCCCAGACUCCUAUCGGGAGGCAGCAGUAGGGAAUCUUCCGCAAUGGACGAAAGUCUGACGGAGCAACGCCGCGUGAGUGAUGAAGGCUUUCGGGUCGUAAAACUCUGUUGUUAGGGAAGAACAAGUACAAGAGUAACUGCUUGUGCCUGACGGA